GUGAGGAAUAUUGCGCAAUGGAGGCAACUCUGACGCAGCCAUGCCGCGUGCAGGAAGAAGGCGCUACGCGUUGUAAACUGCUUUUAACCGGGAAGAAACCCCAGGACGUGUCCUGGGUUGACGGUACCGGAGGAAUAAGCACCGGCUAACUUCGUGCCAGCAGCCGCGGUAAUACGAAGGGUGCAAGCGUUAUCCGGAUUCAUUGGGUUUAAAGGGUGCGUAGGCGGAGCGUUAAGUCAGUGGUGAAAUCCUGCAGCUUAACUGUAGACUUGCCAUUGAUACUGGCGCUCUUGAGUGCGCUUGAAGUGGGCGGAAUGUGCCGUGUAGCGGUGAAAUGCUUAGAUAUGGCACAGAAUACCAAUUGCGAAGGCAGCUCACUAAGGCGAUACUGACGCUGAGGCACGAAAGCGUGGGGAUCGAACAGGAUUAGAAACCCCGGUAGUCC
rnacentral:rRNA from 1 species